GGAAAAGAAACCAACAGGGAUUGCCUCAGUAACGGCGAGUGAAGCGGCAAAAGCUCAAAUUUGAAAUCCUUCGGGAAUUGUAUUUUGAAGGUGGGUUUGGUUAGGAAAAGUUACUUUAAGUCCAUUGGAAAAAGGCGCCAUGGAGGGUGAUAGCCCCGUAAAGGUAUCCCUUUUCCUUUUAUCCAUUCCCUCCAAAGAGUCGAGUUGUUUGGGAAUGCAGCUCUAAGUGGGUGGUAAAUUCCAUCUAAAGCUAAAUAUUGGCGAGAGACCGAUAGCGAACAAGUACAGUGAUGGAAAGAUGAAAAGCACUUUGAAAAGAGAGUGAAAAAGUACGUGAAAUUGUUGAAAGGGAAGGGCUUGCAAGCAGACACAACCUCGGUUGGGCCAGCAUCGGAGUGGGGGGAGACAAAAAAGAAAAGGAAUGUAACUC
rnacentral:rRNA from 1 species